CCAAUCGCUCUCUGCCUCUCGCACAGGCUCUGUUUCCUCCUCUACUACUGGGCAGUUUCUUCCGUCAGGUCUCAGAAACUCCAACCAACGGGAGCCAGUCAGGAGCUCCGCACUCAGCCAAUGGGGACUGAGCGGGAAGUAAGCAGAGCCCCGCGCUGCAUUGAGGGCGCUCUUCCUGGCUGGCUCCGUAUUCUUGGGCCGUCAGGUGAGGCAGCGGCUGGACUCCCACCCUGAACCCCCACUCCCGAGGUACCUCCCGGUGAGGUGCCGGCCCACUCCCUGCCCCAGGGCCUCCGUGGGAGCAGAAAAGAGUUAUGAGACCUGGAGCCUGAGUGCCCCUUCCCUCCCUCCCGCCUCAUUAUUUCCAAGAUGAGCUUGGCCCAAACACCGGUUUCCGUGGGUUCAAGACAUGAGUCGUCGUCUCUUGUUAUGAGCCACCUCGGGGCUGUCAUGGAUUCGGUCAGUGAUAAAGCGCACAGACACUGUUGGUGCAAUUACAAGUGAAAUGGUAAUCACUUCUGAACACGAAGAGAUCAUGGAAACCCAAACCUUGUCUCGAGUUCAGAUGCCUGCCUUCUGCACCUGCAUAGGCUGCCCCCACACCCACUGUCCUGACAGCAAAUGCCCCCUGGGUAAGUAGUUUUAUUUAUUUCAGAGAAGUUUAAAUUACUCAAAGAAAAAUACCUGAGUAAAUCCAGUCAUAAAUGUUCUAUGUAAUUUCUGCUUUCUGGUUUUGAACAUAAAAAAAUAUUUUUGUAUAUAUAGGACAGGAGUUUGCUCAGAACCAAAGGCAUAUUGCCACCCUUGUCUCCCUGUAUUGGGACAGUCUUCUUUUCUGCUGCCCUGUCAUGGCAGAGAGAGAGACAGAGACAGAGACAGAGAGACAGACACAGAGACGGGAAAAUACAUCGCUCCUGCUUUGGGACAAAGUGGGGUCGGCGUCCCAGGCACGCAAAGACUGCUUUGAUGAAAACCAAGAUGUUUCUAGAGGACUUUCUCCAACUCUCUCAAACCCGACGCUCAGCCACAAGUACAGUCACAGCUACAGUACAUACCACCCUCCAGAGAGAGGGCAGAGGAGGGUGGGGUGUUCAAGAAUCAGCUCUCCUUUCCAAAGAACAGAAAACUGUGCACGCUAUCCUGAAAACAAACAAAAACUAGACGUCCUAUGAAGUCAUCACGAAGUGCAGUUGUACUAUGCACGACAGAUACGUGUGUGCUCACCGUGAAAAUGUGACCUGUGUGUGGCCUUAUAAAGGUGCGGAGGAAGCUCCAAGUGAGGAAAUGAUCAUUUUAUAUUUUCCUGUACAUUUCUUAGCCUGUUAACAUUAUCGUGUGUGCCUUGAAAACUUUCGAAGGAAAGUCCACAGGAAGAAUUGCAAAUGACCAAAUCCGUUGCCAGCACCAAGGAAGUCCAAGGUGGCAACUACGAAGCCCACACAAACCCGACACCCAUAUGUACACAACCAGACUGUCCUUUUAAAGUCCCUGGCCCUUUAUUUUGUAGCACAACUUCACACAACCCGUUGUAAGAUCAAACAGUGAGGAUACUCCGGUGUUUGUUUCCUGGGCUCAUCUUGAAUCUGCCCCAGCAGUGUGUUUUAGGUCACUGGUUCUAGCUAUAAUUCAAGCCCAGGACAACUGGAGGGGAUGUGGGAGGGAGGGCCCAGUCCCUCGAACCACCAGGCGGAGGAGGGAAUUAGGAACCCCCCCCCCCCCAGAAGGCCACACCAUACUGUCAGGGGAAAAGAAAGAAAACAAAGGAGCAGAAUGGAGUCAAGAAAAAGUGAGGGAGAGAGAACGUCCAGAAUUUAAAAACCACACGAACAGAAGCUUUACUUCGAAGUAUCAAAGCCAUAAAUGGUCUUGAGGGGGCAUGUUUCAAUGUGACACUGUGCAUGGCUUCCUUCUCUCAGACAGUGUGGGUGUAAGUGGCGCACGGUGUUAUUUUCAGAGUUCUAACUUGAAAUCCAAGUGUCUUGUGACUCAGCCUUCACAUUUCUCACAAAGGACUACGUUCCUCAUGGGUGGGGAUGAUUGUAACACAGGCUUCCAGCAAACUUCUGUAGAGUUGCCCUCACUGUCCCAACUUUCCUGACACAGGGUGGCAGUGAACACACAGAAAAACAAAGGGCGGGGGCAGGUCGGUGGGUUAAGCCUCCAGCUCUUGAUUUCGGCUUAGGUCAUGAUCUCAUGGUUCUUGAGUUCAAGCCCUGAGUAGGGCUCUGGGCUAACAGCUUGGAACCUGGAGCCUGCAUGGGAUUCUCUCUCUCCGUCCCUCCCUCACUCUCUCUCUAAAAAUAAAUACAAAUAAACAAAAAAAAAAAGGGGGGGGGGCUAAGACCCUUC